rnacentral:rRNA from 1 species
UACGUAGGGUGCGAGCGUUAAUCGGAAUUACUGGGCGUAAAGCGUGCGCAGGCGGUUUGUUAAGACAGGCGUGAAAUCCCCGGGCUCAACCUGGGAACUGCCUUUGUGACUGCAUGACUAGAGUACGGUAGAGGGGGAUGGAAUUCCGCGUGUAGCAGUGAAAUGCGUAGAUAUGCGGAGGAACACCGAUGGCGAAGGCAAUCCCCUGGACCUGUACUGACGCUCAUGCACGAAAGCGUGGGGAGCAAACAGG